CUUGAGAAGAACAGCAAAUGAGCUUAACAAACAAGCUGCCACAGGCCAGCCCAGAUGUUUUUUAUUCUUGGUUCCUCUUGAGGCAAUGGAGGCCGAAGGAGUUUGACAGGGUUAUGAAUGCAUGUAUGUGCAUGUGUGUGAGUUUGUACAUGUGAAUGCAGUCCUAUGGAUGCCAGAAGAAGAUACUGCAUUGUCUGAUGCCCAGGAGCUGGAGUUACAAGUAUCCAGGUAUAGCGCGGAAACUUGCCAUUCUUUUUUAUUAUUUCCCAAAACAGUUAUGAACUAUUUGAUAUUGGUGCUGAAACCUGAACCCAGGUCCUUUACAGAAGCAUGUAUUCUUUUAACUGCAGAAAUAUCUCCAAAGUUUCAAGACUGGAUUCUUUCUAAAGAAUAAAUAAAAAGCAUAGCACAGAAAUUCCAGAAGUUGAAGAAAUUUAUAUACAAUUUUCAUUUCCAGUGAAUAAAAGGAAAAUGCCAAAAUGUCUUGAAUGUUUUAUACACAAAGUAAGGACAUGGCUGUCCCAAAUUUUAUUUUCAAGAUUUUAUUUAUUUAUAUAUUUAAUAUGGGCAUAUACCUGCAUGUGUAUGUGCCACAUGCACUCAGUGCCAUCAGUGGCCAGAAC
rnacentral:lncRNA from 1 species